rnacentral:sRNA from 1 species
CACUUCUCUCCUGGUGAACAAGUGGAAGGAGGGUGGCUGGGAUGAUGCAGAAGCCGUUUUUUCAGGACAGGAGGGGAAGAUAAACUGUGUGACAUUCCCUCACCCAGACACGAUGCCGGAACAGCAGCUGCUGAAACCAACCGAGUGGAGCUACUGCGACUACUUCUGGGCUGAUAGGAAGGACCCCCAAGGCAACGGCACUGUGGCUGGGUUUGAACUACUGCUCCAGAAACAGCUGAAGGGCAAACAAAUGCAGAAGGAAAUGUCAGAAUUCAUCCGGGAAAGGAUAAAGAUUGAAGAAGACUAUGCGAAGAACUUAGCUAAGCUCUCUCAGAACUCUUUGGCUUCACAGGAGGAAGGCUCCUUGGGAGAGGCGUGGGCUCAGGUGAAGAAGAGCCUGGCGGACGAAGCAGAAGUUCACCUCAAGUUCUCUGCCAAGCUUCACAGUGAGGUGGAGAAGCCCCUGAUGAACUUCCGUGAGAACUUCAAGAAAGACAUGAAGAAGUGCGACCACCACAUUGCCGACCUUCGCAAGCAG